rnacentral:tRNA from 1 species
UUGGAUUUAAACCCCAAAUAUAAAGUCCACCUUUUUUUAGAA